rnacentral:rRNA from 1 species
UACGUAGGGUGCAAGCGUUAAUCGGAAUUACUGGGCGUAAAGCGUGCGCAGGCGGCUUUGCAAGACAGAUGUGAAAUCCCCGGGCUUAACCUGGGAACUGCAUUUGUGACUGCAUGGCUAGAGUGCGGCAGAGGUGAUGGAAUUCCGCGUGUAGCAGUGAAAUGCGUAGAUAUGCGGAGGAACACCGAUGGCGAAGGCAAUCCCCUGGGCCUGCACUGACGCUCAUGCACGAAAGCGUGGGGAGCAAACAGG